rnacentral:rRNA from 1 species
GACGAACGCUGGCGGCGUGCUUAACACAUGCAAGUCGAACGGAAAGGCCCUGCUUUUGUGGGGUGCUCGAGUGGCGAACGGGUGAGUAACACGUGAGUAACCUGCCCUUGACUUUGGUAUAACUUCAGGAAACUGGGGCUAAUACCGGAUAGGAGCUCCUGCUCCAUGGUGGGGGUUGGAAAGUUUCGGCGGUUGGGGAUGGACUCGCGGCUUAUCAGCUUGUUGGUGGGGUAGUGGCUUACCAAGGCUUUGACGGGUAGCCGGCCUGAGAGGGUGACCGGCCACAUUGGGACUGAGAUACGGCCCAGACUCCUACGGGAGGCAGCAGUGGGGAAUAUUGCACAAUGGGCGGAAGCCUGAUGCAGCAACGCCGCGUGCGGGAUGACGGCCUUCGGGUUGUAAACCGCUUUCGCCUGUGACGAAGCGUGAGUGACGGUAAUGGGUAAAGAAGCACCGGCUAACUACGUG